CUUGUUUUGAACAAAGGAAAAAGAAAAAAGAAACGGCAGUACAUAAUUUCUCGUAAGGCUGGAGAUGAAGCUGUCAGCUGAGACCUCCUGCCUGCCGAAGACCAUGGGCUAGAAUCCCUGCACUGCAUGGACCAGAUGUGGUGGCACAUGAAGGUCAAGGCCAUCCUCAACCACGCAGGAGUUCAAGGUCAGCCUGGGACCCAUGAGAUCCUGUCUCAAAACAAAGAACAGUUCUCUCAAGAGGAAAUCUUAACAUUAGGGCUGUGCUGAUCCAAGGUCCAUGGUAAUUUGUUACAGUAGCCCCAGGGCUCUCCUUGGAGAUGAAGUAGAAGCCUGGGUCUAAAGAUACUUUGGCAAUGCUUUCAAGGGAGUAGAGUUCCAGGGUGAGUGGACUAGGAAAGAGAUGGCCCUUCAGAUCAGCCAUCCUGAGAUCUGAAC
ensembl:processed_transcript F730043M19Rik RIKEN cDNA F730043M19 gene